GCAGGUGUAGCCCAACGGCAGAGGCGAUAGUCUUAGAAACUAUACAGUGAAGGUUCAAAUCCCUCCACCUGUACCA
rnacentral:tRNA from 1 species